rnacentral:snRNA from 1 species
CCUAUACCCGGCCGUCGGGGCAA